rnacentral:tRNA from 1 species
GUCCCCAUCGUCUAGAGGCCUAGGACAUCGCCCUUUCACGGCGGUAACACGGGUUCGAAUCCCGUUGGGGACGCGA